GGAACCGUAGCCAAGUGGCUAAGGCGUGGGUCUGCAACACCCUGAUCACCAGUUCGAAUCUGGUCGGUUCCU
rnacentral:tRNA from 1 species